GAAAGCCGUGUGAGGGAGAACCUCAUGCACGGUUUGAUGAGGGGCGGAUGAAAUUUUCAUCCGCCUACUCUAC
rfam:Roseburia sp. 40_7 Ley3_66761_scaffold_9987, whole genome shotgun sequence.